GCGGAUGGCCGGAUGACCGCGGGGCCUCGGCCUCGAGGAAAGUCCGGACUCCACCAGGAACGGUGCCGGGUAACGCCCGGCGGGGGCAACCCCAGGGACAGCGCCACAGAGAACAGACCGCCCUGCUUGCAGGGUAAGGGUGAAACGGUGGGGUAAGAGCCCACCGGGGGCCGGGUAACCGGGCCCGCAUGGCAAGCCCCACCGGGAGCAAUGCCGAAUAGGGACCUCGCGCCGCUUGCGGCAGGGACACCUGGUCCCGAGAGGUCCGGGUUGGCAGCUGGAGGCGUGUCGGCAACGGCGCGUCCAGAGGAAUGGUCAUCCAGGGACUUCGGUCCCGGACAGAAUCCGGCUUACAGGCCAUCCGCGCGA
rnacentral:RNase_P_RNA from 2 species